rnacentral:rRNA from 1 species
UCACCAAGGCGACGAUCAGUAGCCGACCUGAGAGGGUGAUCGGCCACAUUGGAACUGAGACACGGUCCAAACUCCUACGGGAGGCAGCAGUGGGGAAUAUUGCACAAUGGGCGAAAGCCUGAUGCAGCAACGCCGCGUGAGCGAUGAAGGCCUUCGGGUCGUAAAGCUCUGUCCUCAAGGAAGAUAAUGACGGUACUUGAGGAGGAAGCCCCGGCUAACUACGUGCCAGCAGCCGCGGUAAUACGUAGGGGGCUAGCGUUAUCCGGAAUUACUGGGCGUAAAGGGUGCGUAGGUGGUUUCUUAAGUCAGAGGUGAAAGGCUACGGCUCAACCGUAGUAAGCCUUUGAAACUGAGAAACUUGAGUGCAGGAGAGGAGAGUAGAAUUCCUAGUGUAGCGGUGAAAUGCGUAGAUAUUAGGAGGAAUACCAGUUGCGAAGGCGGCUCUCUGGACUGUAACUGACACUGAGGCACGAAAGCGUGGGGAGCAAACAGGAUUAGAUACCCUGGUAGUCCACGCCGUAAACGAUGAGUACUAGGUGUCGGGGGUUACCCCCCUCGGUGCCGCAGCUAACGCAUUAAGUACUCCGCCUGGGAAGUACCGCUCGCAAGAGUGAAACUCAAAUGAAUUGACCGG